rnacentral:lncRNA from 1 species
UGAUGCUACCUGCCUUGUUAGGUUUAAUCAUAUCUUCUGUGCCGAAUAAAAUGUGAUUGAAAUGCUAGGAAAUAAGGAAUCCAACUCCGAGCACAAAUUGACCAACCAAAAUGCUAGUGGAAUAUAAUAAUAUUGGAAAUACUACCUUUGUUUGAGUUUGUGAAGAUUAAAAGUUAAUGAAAGUGAAGGAUUUCAAAUUCUAGGACCUUUGGCCAUUAUAAAGCGUCCAGUUCGCACCCAGCAGGCGACAUUAGUCGCACUCACCGAUCCAGUCGGCGACAUGCCGCAUAGUCAUUUACCUCGCCGAGUUUUACAGGACCUUCAAUCAAAGUGAAGGUCAAAAC